rnacentral:rRNA from 1 species
CAGGUUUACCUGUGUGACUGCGUACCUUUUGUAUAAUGGGUCAGCGACUUAUAUUCUGUAGCAAGGUUAACCGAAUAGGGGAGCCGGAGGGAAACCGAGUCUUAAUUGGGCGUUAAGUUGCAGGGUAUAGACCCGAAACCCGGUGAUCUAGCCAUGGGCAGGUUGAAGGUUGGGUAACACUAACUGGAGGACCGAACCGACUAAUGUUGAAAAAUUAGCGGAUGACCUGUGGCUGGGGGUGAAAGGCCAAUCAAACCGGGAGAUAGCUGGUUCUCCCCGAAAGCUAUUUAGGUAGCGCCUCGUGAAUUCAUCUCCGGGGGUAGAGCACUGUUUCGGCUAGGGGGCCAUCCCGGCUUACCAACCCGAUGCAAACUGCGAAUACCGGAGAAUGUUAUCACGGGAGACACACGGCGGGUGCUAACGUCCGUCGUGAAGAGGGAAACAACCCAGACCGCCAGCUAAGGUCCCAAAGUCAUGGUUAAGUGGGAAACGAUGUGGGAAGGCCCAGACAGCCAGGAUGUUGGCUUAGAAGCAGCCAUCAUUUAAAGAAAGCGUAAUAGCUCACUGGUCGAGUCGGCCUGCGCGGAAGAUGUAACGGGGCUAAACCAUGCACCGAAGCUGCGGCAGCGACACUGUGUGUUGUUGGGUAGGGGAGCGUUCUGUAAGCCUGCGAAGGUGGCCUGUGAGGGUUGCUGGAGGUAUCAGAAGUGCGAAUGCUGACAUAAGUAACGAUAAAGCGGGUGAAAAGCCCGCUCGCCGGAAGACCAAGGGUUCCUGUCCAACGUUAAUCGGGGCAGGGUGAGUCGACCCCUAAGGCGAGGCCGAAAGGCGUAGUCGAUGGGAAACGGGUUAAUAUUCCCGUACUUGGUGUUACUGCGAAGGGGGGACGGAGAAGGCUAUGUUGGCCGGGCGACGGUUGUCCCGGUUUAAGCGUGUAGGUGUGUGUUCCAGGUAAAUCCGGUUCACUUUAACACUGAGGCGUGACGACGAGGCACUACGGUGCUGAAGCAACAAAUGCCCUGCUUCCAGGAAAAGCCUCUAAGCAUCAGGUAACAUCAAAUCGUACCCCAAACCGACACAGGUGGUCAGGUAGAGAAUACCAAGGCGCUUGAGAGAACUCGGGUGAAGGAACUAGGCAAAAUGGUGCCGUAACUUCGGGAGAAGGCACGCUGACACGUAGGUGAAGUGAUUUACUCAUGGAGCUGAAGUCAGUCGAAGAUACCAGCUGGCUGCAACUGUUUAUUAAAAACACAGCACUGUGCAAACACGAAAGUGGACGUAUACGGUGUGACGCCUGCCCGGUGCCGGAAGGUUAAUUGAUGGGGUCAGCGCAAGCGAAGCUCCUGAUCGAAGCCCCGGUAAACGGCGGCCGUAACUAUAACGGUCCUAAGGUAGCGAAAUUCCUUGUCGGGUAAGUUCCGACCUGCACGAAUGGCGUAAUGAUGGCCAGGCUGUCUCCACCCGAGACUCAGUGAAAUUGAACUCGCUGUGAAGAUGCAGUGUACCCGCGGCAAGACGGAAAGACCCCGUGAACCUUUACUAUAGCUUGACACUGAACAUUGAGCCUUGAUGUGUAGGAUAGGUGGGAGGCUUUGAAGUGUGGACGCCAGUCUGCAUGGAGCCGACCUUGAAAUACCACCCUUUAAUGUUUGAUGUUCUAACGUGGACCCGUUACCCGGGUUGCGGACAGUGUCUGGUGGGUAGUUUGACUGGGGCGGUCUCCUCCUAAAGAGUAACGGAGGAGCACGAAGGUUGGCUAAUCCUGGUCGGACAUCAGGAGGUUAGUGCAAUGGCAUAAGCCAGCUUGACUGCGAGCGUGACGGCGCGAGCAGGUGCGAAAGCAGGUCAUAGUGAUCCGGUGGUUCUGAAUGGAAGGGCCAUCGCUCAACGGAUAAAAGGUACUCCGGGGAUAACAGGCUGAUACCGCCCAAGAGUUCAUAUCGACGGCGGUGUUUGGCACCUCGAUGUCGGCUCAUCACAUCCUGGGGCUGAAGUAGGUCCCAAGGGUAUGGCUGUUCGCCAUUUAAAGUGGUACGCGAGCUGGGUUUAGAACGUCGUGAGACAGUUCGGUCCCUAUCUGCCGUGGGCGCUGGAGAACUGAGGGGGGCUGCUCCUAGUACGAGAGGACCGGAGUGGACGCAUCACUGGUGUUCGGGUUGUCAUGCCAAUGGCACUGCCCGGUAGCUAAAUGCGGAAGAGAUAAGUGCUGAAAGCAUCUAAGCACGAAACUUGCCCCGAGAUGAGUUCUCCCUGAGACUUAAAGUCUCCUGAAGGAACGUUGAAGACGACGACGUUGAUAGGCCGGGUGUGUAAGCGCAGCGAUGCGUUGAGCUAACCGGUACUAAUGAACCGUGAGGCUUAACCUUACAACGCCGAAG